GCGGCGUGCCUAAUACAUGCAAGUCGAGCGGACCUCUUCGGAGUUAGCGGCGGACGGGUGAGUAACACGUGGGCAAGCUGCCUGUGAGACUGGGAUAACUCCGGGAAACCGGAGCUAAUACCGGAUAGUAUCUUGAACCGCAUGGUUCAAGCUGGAAAGACGGUUUCGGCUGUCACUUACAGAUGGGCCCGCGGCGCAUUAGCUAGUUGGUGAGGUAAUGGCUCACCAAGGCAACGAUGCGUAGCCGACCUGAGAGGGUGAUCGGCCACACUGGGACUGAGACACGGCCCAGACUCCUACGGGAGGCAGCAGUAGGGGAAUCUUCCGCAAUGGACGAAAGUCUGACGGAGCAACGCCACGUGAGUGAUGAAGGUUAUUGGUAUCGUAAAACUUUUGUUUGUUAGG
rnacentral:rRNA from 2 species